UGAGGAACAUGACCUUCGGCGGGGGAUAGCCGGCCCAACGGCCGGGUAAUACCGCGUACGACCACAUGGGGACAUCCCUGAGUGGUGAAAGCAGCAAUGCGCCGAUGGAGUGCCUCGCGGCCUAUCAGCUAGUUGGUGAGGUAACGGCUCACCAAGGCAACGACGGGUAGCUGGUCUGAGAGGAUGGCCAGCCAUAUUGGGACUGAGACACGGCCCAGACCUCUACGGGAGG
rnacentral:rRNA from 1 species